UAAAGAAACAGUACCGGGGGCGGGCCGAGCGACGCAGCCGGGACGGUAGCUGCAGCGCGGACCGGAGGAGCCAUCUUGUCUCGUCGCCGGGGAGUCAGGCCCCUAACUCGAAGAAGCCCUGGCGCGCCCUCCCCCCCUCCCCGGUCUGGUAGGGCGAAGGAGUGGGCGCGCGGUCGAUCGAGCGAUCGGUUGGCGGCUCUUUCUCCUGCUCUGGCAUCCAGCUCUUGGGGCGCAGGCCCGGCCGCCGCGGCGUGCGCCCGGUGGCCGUUGGCGCUCGCGCCGCGUCUUUCUUCUCGUUCGCAGAACUCGGGCGGCGGCCUAUGCUUUUGCGAUUCGACGAGGAGUCGUCCGGGUGGUCGGCGGCGGCGGGCAGUUGCUCCGCCCCGCUCCCGGGGAGGCGGCGGCGGCGGCGGCAGCGGCAGCGGCGGGAUUUGGCGCGACCGGGGAGGCGGGGGUGGCCGGCUCGGGCCUGGAGGCCUGGCGUCACCCUUCGGGGCCUGCAAGGACCCAGUUGGGGGGACAGGAGGGAGCUGGAGGAUGGUUGGUGGUGGGCUUCCUACUUUGCCUUUUUCUCCUUAUGCCCCCUUAGUGAGAGGCGGGAGCUCUGGCGGCAGCUCCGGGGUGGGGAUUCGAGCUCCGGAGUCGGAAGAGCUGGGUUUGCUUCCGGGCCCAGCCAUCAGCUGGCCGAGUGACUUUAGGCAAGUCGCUCAGUAAUUUGUCUGCGCCUCAGUUUCCUCCUCUGCCUAUCAGUGUGUGUGGGAUUGAAAGCGCUUCUUAAACUAUAAAGCGUCGGUAUUAUGUGUCAAGGAUGAUUAUUGUUUGUAACGUGUAUGUGUGUGCGAGUUUUUAAUGCUUGAGUUGUAAGAAAACUUAGCAAUUGCCCAUUCCCUGAACUUGAUACCCUGGGAAACCUUGGAGAUCUUGAGACUCCGUGCGUUUAUAUGCACCAAUGUAUGGGACCGUGUAUGCUGAGGGAAUGAUGAUCCAUCGCUAGCAAGUUUUCAAAGGGGGCUGUGACCCAGAAGAGUUAACACUUCCUCUAUGCCGCAGUGAGGAAACUGAGGCCUAGAUGUCAUUUGGGACCCUUCACAACCAAUUAGAAACACCUCCUUCCCUCCCCCACCACCCCCGUUUGAGUCCCUGGGAUAUGUGAGCUGUUUCUGUGCACAAUGAAUAUGGGGUAACAUUUGCCCCAACUCUGCUUGGCUUCUGAGUCCUGUCACCAAGGGGUGCCUGAAGGUUGUCUGAUGCGUAUGGUACAAUGGCACCCAAUAUAAAGCAGCUACGAUUCAAAGUGGGUGUGUUCUGCAGUAUGAAGAAGCGUAUUUAAUCUUUGGCCUAGAAAUCGUUUGUUUGCUGCUGCUUAUACUGGUGCCUGACUACCGUCCUGUCUUUUUCAUUGACUGUUUCCCAUUGACCGUGGUUGCCAUCUGUCGCUUGCUCCUAUUUUGUAUCCCUAGUUUGUGUGGUUGGUAGUGAACAGGCUUAUUAAAAUGGUGCUGUCAAGCCCAGCUAAUUAAUGGUGCACGUGGAUUUUAAGCGAGGGGGCUCACUGGAACUGACUGAACCAGGAAUGGAAAACUUGAAAGAUAUUUCGGGAGCUUUUUCCCUUUGCUAAUUGGAAGUUAACUUGUUCUGAAACGUUUUGUUAGAACUGCUGAACUUCAAUAUUAGUAGAUUUGGAAGUGAUUCACAGUUUGUUUCUGGCCUGCCUUGUAUUCUAAUUGCUUGCCAGUGUGGUACUGAGAUGGCAAAAUGCUAUGUUUUGUUUCUUUGUUACUUGUCAGCUGCUUUUUUUUUUUUUUUAAUCAAAAGUCCAGGUCAUUUUCCAGCAAACACUAAAAAUGUUUGAACAGUUGGAUUUCAAACAUUUUCAUUUUGUGGAGUGGUGCUUACCAAGUGGUACAGCUCUAAGCAAGUGAACAUUUCUUAAACACAUUUGAGUGUAUUUUAUCUGAUUAGAUGUUUGCUAAUUCUAUUUCAUUCAAAUGUCUGAAAAGAAUCAGGCAAAGAUAUGAUUUCACUUCCAGAGAAAUGACUGUUUUGGAGAAACAUGUAUUGCCCUUUAGCUCUUUUGUAAUCUGGAUGUACCUCAAAAAGAAUAUUAAGACUGUGGUGAUGAGCGACCUUCCUCUGGAGAAAGGAGGGGGAAAUAACAACCGGAACUCCAAAGCUUGAAGGUCUGUGACAAGACAGGAGAUGUGCAAGAUUGCAACUUGAAGAGAUUUUGCUACGGUGUUCUGCAGUUGUUGGAGUAGAUAUCUUUCAGUUUAUCAACAGCCAUGGACUCCGGAUUCUCAAGAACUGGACCUAUAACCCAGAAGAGUUUGUCAAGUUGGGGCAGGAACUCUGGAGGUAGAUAUUUUUUACUUUUGAAUUUUGGAAAUGUGGACCUUGCUGUGAGGAAAGAAAGAACAACUGAGUAUGCACUGACACCAGCGCUGUUACUGGAAAUUAGAAGACCUGAAUUUCUGUCCAGACUCAUGCAAACUGACCACACCAUCCAAAGUGAAUUACGUCAGUCCUGUACCUCCUGAUUGCUGAAUGUGCACUUGGACCUUCUGAUGACCUGCCUUCUGCUAUUCCAUCAGCCUGUAGACCUGGUGUCUGGAUUUUUGCCCAGGAUGAUUCCUACCACCUUACUACUGAAGAAGACACCAUUCCAGUGGACCACUGUGACCCAAAAGGCAUUCAGCCAUCAUGAUGUGGCCUUUACCUCCACUCCUGUCCUUACUACCCAGAUUCAGCACAGCCCUUUAUAAUGCAAGAGUUCUCAAGCCAAAUAGCUAAAGCUAUUUUAUCACAACAAAAGCCUAGUUUGUUCCCCUAAAUAUGUUUCAUUUCUUCAGCUGAAGCCUGCAGACACACGUAGUAUGGACCAGGGGACUUUUCAUUAUCAGUAUAUUCUGAAGAAAGGCAACCUCUCUUUGAGAACAUUGGACCAUACCCCACAAUCUCAAAUAUGAAGUUCAUGAAUUAAUUAGGAACACAUCAAGACUGGAUCCUGAUCUUUUUCUACUUCACUUCUGUAGUAGCCUACUGAAUGAUAAAGCAGAUAUUCUGAUUCAUUGGGAUCAAAACAAAGACACAGUGAACUCCUAGCAUCAUCUUUGGGAUUACUCAGGAACCAGAACGUUUCAUACAAAUAUAAGAAAUUCUACCAAGGAAUCCCUUAACCUAACAGCAUUUCACAAGGCUCCAGUCAGAAAAGGCUACUUGAUACAUCAAGAUAAAACCUAUAUGCAUUUUGUGAACAACUUAUUCUUAGAUCAUUGGUUUUCCAAAAGCUUUGUGGCCAUGAAGCCCUUUGAACACUAUGUGGAAGCCCAGAGUAACAGUGAAGCUUCUCUGGAUGACGUAGUGAAGCAGGAUUGGGGUCUGCCACAGCCAUCACCACCCUGGUGACACCUACAGGGACUUCUUUACAACUUCUAGGAUUCUUCAGGACACAGUUGGAAAGCCACUGCCCUAGACAACAUAUUUGACCGGAAUGGCAUUCUGAUCUUUUAUGUACCUCUAUUCAGUAUAGUUUGUAUUAAGUUGAUACAGAACAUUUUUAGAAAUACUUAACUGUGUGUGAACUUAGAAAAGUAUAAGAAGAUGGGCAUACCCUUACCCCAGAGAAUGGGCGUAUGGGCUGAAAGUGGCGUCAAGCAACCUUCACUACUAGCACUCCACCCCAGAUGGACUUAGAGUGAUUCCUGGAAUUGGAUAUAUCCAGAAAGAAAUCCAUAAGCACCCUACACUGACAAACCCACUAAACAAUUUGCACAGACUCCAAAUGUACUAGUGGUACUUGAAUACAUGACUUUGAAGUCUUGAAUCCUCCUCGGAUAUACAAAUUGCCUACAAGCUGGUAUUGAAGCUGAUGCCACAUUGAGACCAUCUUAGAACAACUUGAACAUUUGACCUCUCAUCAUUGGCCAUGGUACUCCAAAGACUAACUGUUAAUUAUGAAAGCAGAAUUCAAAUCCUGGCCAACAUUCCCUAAAGAAGCUCAGUACCUGGUGGUUAUUCAUCUUAAAGUACAAAUCCAUAUAUGGUUCAGUCAUAGUUCAGUCAUAGUUAAGGACACUGCUUCUUGGUUUCAGUUUACUGUUUCCAGGAUAAAUGAGCUAAUAGCCUUUAAAAACAAAAUAGUUCCUGUCAUGUCUGCCUAUUCUUCAGAAUUAUGACUCCUCAUCUCUAUCCUGAAGAUAACAACCUUUCUUAUAAAUCUGAUUUAAACUAUAGCCUUUAAAAAAAAAAAAACUGGUACCAUCAGCUAUAUGUGACAGUGAUAGUUGGCCAUGACUGCAUACUUGCUUGGCACCUCAAACAAUAUGUUGUCUACCUUUUUGCUGGAAAUGCAGAUUGACUUGGGGGGAAAAAAAUCAAAGAUGGCAGCUAAGGAUUUUAUCAGUCUCAAGAGCUUCUGUCCUUGUGGAUCUUUUGUUGGAAGCACAUCUUUCUCAAUACUGUUGAUCUACACUGAUUUCUAGAGAGCCUGACUUUCAUUUUUGACUAUGAAAUACUCUUAGGCACUAAGACAACUUAUUUCUGUAGAAAGGAUUCACUUCCUGAACUCCCAGAUCAUAUUAUCGUGAAAAAGGAGACUUCUGUUUGUGUCUUGAGAAAAUCUCAUUCCUUUACAGUCAAUUUAAGGACCAGCUAUCUUCACCUAAUCUAAUGAAUGCACUGGUUAAUGGAAAUGGUUUCUUUAUCUCUUUGUCUUUUUACUCUCUAAUGGUGAUUGCAUGAUUUACUCUACAGAUGAUCAAAUAAGGCUUAGGGCUGUUUCCUCAAGACUGCUGACCCUCAGCAGAAUAGAAUCUGGAUGACUUUUCUGUUUAUAUAUAUACAACUAUUGCUUAUAAAGAAGAAAUCAGCAACCAGCUUACUCUUCUACUGUCUCAAAAUUGUCAGCUGUUUUUCCCCCACUGCUUCUUCCUGUUCUUACAGAAAGAUAAUGUUCUACACUGCCAGUCAUUCCCUCUGAUCCCACCAUAUUCAGUGGUCAAAAUGAGGAACUUAAGAGGAAGAUCAUCUCAGUCUAAUGUAAGCUGUACAUAAGAAUUGGUGACUGAAUAAACAAAAAAGCCUAAAACCUUAAGGCAAAAGACCUAGGGGCUUGCCUACUGUCUCCAUGCCUCAGAUCUCUUCUAAAGCUCUCAACAGUGCCAUCCAACCAGUCUGAGGCCUUGACUUGCUUGUAAAAUGGUUCUUGGAGAUAGGCUUAGUUACAGAAGAUGAAGACUUGAUUACCAAAGAAAGUAGAGCCAAUUUUGACAAACCUGGCCCUACCGACCCUGUUGCUCCCAGAUGUAGCAUAAACUCCUAAACAGAACCUCUAGUCUGGAUUGAGAACAUGGCCGCCUUCCUGAGCUGACAGUUCUUGGGCAGAUACGCAGGAAAAUACAAGCUGCUGUCACUAGCCCUUCACAAUCAGAAAAUUAUAUCCAGAGUAAGUCCUGUUUGUUUACUCUGGAGUACCCAAGAUAAACAUUAAUUUAUAGGGCUUCAUUAUUAUUAAUCUACCUAUUGUCAGAUUAUAUCUUGGUUAUUGGUAUGGCUGGUCCUACCCUGCUGAAAUUGUCCUGCUUGUCUAUUAACCUGAAUCAGCUCUUAACCUGCCUUUUUUUAACAUGUUGUUGCAAUCCAACUGGCCUUGAGAAGACAACAACUGAUUUCAGCCAAUCUUGUGCCCAAUUCCACCAAGGAUUUCUGAACAAGAAGCAACCUACACCUCACCCGGCCAGAACUUAAUAUUCACAACAAUAAGGACAUUGCUGUUAAGUGGAAAGUAAGUCUUAUGCUUAAUCAUUUUCAGCACCUGGGACAGCUACCAAAUUGGGAAGGAGUACAAUGGAUUGAAAGCAGAGUCCCAUUUCUUCUGCAGUAAUUGAAAAGUGAUUGAUUCAUCUGGAUUCACAAAAAUUGUACCAGUUCAACUUGGCAGAAGACUUAACAGGAAAACAAGAACGUUUCCACUGAACUCCAUUUACAACUGACACAGCCUCACAGAACUAUUUGCUAGUGUGAGGCUAGCUAUCCCGUUUUAUAACACCCAGGCAGAAACUCUCGCACUCAGUUGAGUUUGCUUGUGCUGAGAGACUGUGGUGUGAUCCCCAAGUACGCUCUUCAACAUGAGUAUUCCUUCCCAGUGGACUUUAGCUAGGCUUCCUGAGGUCAGAACAAAACAUCCCUCAAAAUUGUUUUAGAAAAAUUCCACUACUAAGGAAAUAAUGCUAGCUGUUAUCACUGAACAGUCAGAAAUUGGGCUUCAGUAUCUGGGCUUAUCAUGGACAUUCUUUUUUUUUUUUUUUUUUUUUUGCCCAGCAUCCAUUCCAUCUCGUCGUGACAACUCCUUGAUGUUUCUCAGAACUGUUUCUUCCCAUUUUGACUCGUUUGUCCAGUGAUACUCAGCCCUAGGAAGUUUACUGAACUAUGGGAGAGAAACUCUCUUUACUGAGGAUGUUUUAGCUUUGUCGGAUGAAAAAACUCAAACCAGUUUAUCAGUAUGUUGAAUGAGCCAGUCAGAAAACAAAGCCAGUGCAGAGGGAAACAGAGCCAAAAGAUGAAGAGACUUGAGUCCUGGUGACAAUGUGUAUGCCGCUGGAUCCAGCUGUGCCUGAAGCUAGUAUAUCCCCUGGACUUUUUCAGUUAUGUGAACCAAUAAAUACCCUUUUUUGCUUAA